CAGUCGCCGCGGGAAUACAGAGGGUGCGAGUGUUAAUCGGAUUUACUGGGCGUAAAGCGUGCGUAGGCGGCUAAUUGAGUCGGAUGUGAAAUCCCCGAGCUUAACUUGGGAAUUGCAUUCGAUACUGGUUAGCUAGAGUGUGGGAGAGGAUGGUAGAAUUCCAGGUGUAGCGGUGAAAUGCGUAGAGAUCUGGAGGAAUACCGAUGGCGUAGGCAGCCAUCUGGCCUAACACUGACUCUGAGGUACGAAAGCAUGGGGAGCAAACAGGAUUAGAUACCCCCGUAGUCCCUGUCUCUUAUAC
rnacentral:rRNA from 1 species